rnacentral:snRNA from 1 species
GUGCUUGCUUCAGCAGCACAUAUACUAAAAUUGGAAUGAUAUAGAGAAGAUUAGCAUGGCCCCUGUGCAAGGAUGACAUACAAAUUUGUGAAGUGUUCCAUAUUUUU